AUGCGUUCGUCACAGUUUGUGAUCUCUUCUGCAUUCCGCUUUCCAGGAGUUCUUGCCUUCAACCCUGAGGUGGAAUGGCUCUUCCCAUACUUGUCUUUGAGAUCGAGGACAGAGCGAGUCGUUGCAGAGGAGAGGGGAUACGAGGGUGGGCGGAGGUCAGGCAUUGCUAACAGAUUUGCGGCGGAGUGGAAGAGCCCUACUGCUCCUGAGCCCAAAUCCCAUGGUCAUGCCCCCACCUCUCCAUCGUUGAAUGAAGGGAGUCUGGUUGCUAAAAAGAUAAGCCGACACCUAACAAGGAUCGGGAGAACAAUAGAGAUGCUAAGAGGCAACCUUUUGGGUUAA
rnacentral:rRNA from 1 species